rnacentral:rRNA from 1 species
AUUGAACGCUGGCGGCAGGCCUAACACAUGCAAGUCGAGCGGAUGAAGGGAGCUUGCUCCUGGAUUCAGCGGCGGACGGGUGAGUAAUGCCUAGGAAUCUGCCUGGUAGUGGGGGAUAACGUCCGGAAACGGGCGCUAAUACCGCAUACGUCCUGAGGGAGAAAGUGGGGGAUCUUCGGACCUCAUGCUAUCAGAUGAGCCUAGGUCGGAUUAGCUAGUUGGUGGGGUAAAGGCCUACCAAGGCGACGAUCCGUAACUGGUCUGAGAGGAUGAUCAGUCACACUGGAACUGAGACACGGUCCAGACUCCUACGGGAGGGAGCAGUGGGGAAUAUUGGACAAUGGGCGAAAGCCUGAUCCAGCCAUGCCGCGUGUGUGAAGAAGGUCUUCGGAUUGUAAAGCACUUUAAGUUGGGAGGAAGGGCAGUAAGUUAAUACCUUGCUGUUUUGACGUUACCAACAGAAUAAGCACCGGCUAACUUCGUG